rnacentral:rRNA from 1 species
UCGAGAAUCAUUCGCAAUGGGCGAAAGCCUGACGAUGCGACGCCGUGUGAGCGAAGAAGGCCUUCGGGUUGUAAAGCUCUUUCGCUUGGGAACGUGUACCAGGUAAAGAAGCACCGGCUAACUCCGUGCCAGCAGCUGCGGUAAUACGGAGGGUGCAAGCAUUAAUCGGAAUUAUUGGGCGUAAAGGGCGCGUAGGCGGAGGCAUAAGUCAGAUGUGAAAUCCCGGGGCUCAACCUCGGAACAGCAUUUGAAACUGUGCCCCUUGAGGGUAGGCGGAGAAAACGGAAUUCCACAAGUAGCGGUGAAAUGCGUAGAUAUGUGGAAGAACACCGGUGGCGAAAGCGGUUUUCUAGCUUAUUCCUGACGCUGAGGCGCGAAAGCAAGGGGAUC